CGCCCGUGCAGCACCAAUUUGCUAGCUGCUGGGACGCGAAAUAAUAGCGUUAGGGUCUUCAAUCCCAAGUCUCAGUUGUUGAAAUAAGUUCUUACGACUUUUAGCUUUUUAUAGUAGGAGAUACAACUUACAUUACAAACAAUUUACUUAAGGUGUACUAUCUAGCGAUUUUAAAUAUAUUCACAGACACAUGCAACUAUCAUCACUAUUUAGAGCAUUUUCAUCAAUUUAAAAAGAAAUUGAUAUCUGUUAGCUAUUACUGCCCCAAGCUGCCCAUCUUCAUACCCCAAUCCCUAGCAAACUAAGGAACUUGCUGUCUCUUGAGAAUUUGCCUAGUCCAGACUUCUGAGAUAAACGUAACCACACAAUAUGUGUCUUCUGUGUCUGGCUUUUUCCUCUUAGUAUGGCGCUUUCAAGGUUGAUCUGUGCUGCAGUGCGAAUGGGGACUUUGUUCCUUUUUAUUGCUGGAACUUACUCCACCGUAUGAGUAUACUACAUUUAGUUCAUAUAUUCAUAAACUGAAGGAUAUGUCAGUUGUUUACACCUUUUGGGUAUUAACAAAGCACAUGCCUGCACUCCCAGCAUUCAGGUGACUGAGGCCAGAGGAUCACUGCAAGUUUGGAGCCAGCCUGGGCCACAAAGAACUGUCUGGUUUUAUUUAUCUCUGAGAAGAAAAAGGGGAAGAAACAUAUUCAGAAAAAGAUUUCCUUGAACAGUAGCUCAGAAGAAAGAUGCGAGAUGAUGAAACAGAGAGAUCAUGAUGGACUUUUAGAACGAAGCCAUUUCUUCAGCUUCUUCAUGCUGAGAUCAAAAUUGCCACCUCCAAGCCUGAAACUUCAACUGAACUAGACUUUCAACAUUUCUCUGGAUCCUCUGGUGGGGUUUGGCUAAAUCUACACAUGCAUGUUUCCUGGCUAUGUUGUAUGCAUCUGAUAAAUUGAAGAACUCCUGUGUAUGGUCUUGCUGCCCUUUCAAUUUGGCCCAAUUGUCAAUAAACCCAUUUUCCCCUCA